AGGUUUAGGGGUGAAAAGCCAAUCGAACUAGGAGAUAGCUCGUUCUCUCCGAAAUGCAUCUAGGUGCAGCCUUGAGUGUUCAAUUAUGGGGGUAGAGCACUGAAUGAUCUAGGGGGCAUAUUGCUUACUGAAAUCAAUCAAACUCCGAAUACCAUAAUUUAUAGCUCAGGAGUGAGACUAUGGGAGUUAACUUCCAUUGUCAAAAGGGAAACAACCCAGACCACCAGCUAAGGUCCCUAAUUAUAACUAAGUGGGAAAGGAGGUGGAGAUUCACAAACAACUAGGAGGUUGGCUUAGAAGCAGCCAUACCUUUAAAGAGUGCGUAAUAGCUCACUAGUCGAGAGUCUCUGCGCCGACAAUGUAACGGGGCUAAGUUAUAAACCGAAGCUGUGGAAUCCGUAAGGAUUGGUAGGAGAGCGUUCUGUAGGCCGUUGAAGAAGAAGGGUAACCGACUUUGGAGGUAUCAGAAGUGAGAAUGCAGGAAUAAGUAGCGAGAAAGGGGGCGAGAAUCCCCCUCGCCGGAAGACCAAGGUUUUCAGGGUAAAGCUUGUCUUCCCUGAGUAAGCCGGGACCUAAGCCCAGGCUAUAAUGCGUAGGCGAAUGGAAAACAGAUUAAUAUUUCUGUGCCAGUCAUUUAUUGUGAUGGAGGGACGCAGAAGGGUAUGCGCGCGGACGAUCGGUUGUGUCCGUAGAAGUAUGUAGGAUGACUUAGUAGGUAAAUCCAUUAAGUUAUAUCUGAGGUAUGAUAUACAGUCGUAAGAUGAAUGCGCAAAUCCCACGCUGCCAAGAAAAGCUUCUAACGUUAAUAUAUGACUGCCCGUACUGUAAACCGACACAGGUGGUCAGGAUGAGAAAUCUAAGGCGGACAGGCUAACUCUCGUUAAGGAACUCUGCAAAAUAACCUCGUAACUUCGGGAGAAGAGGAGCCCUUGGGUGUUAGUAUCCAUGCGAUACAAAGCGCUCGAGGGUCGCAGUGAAGAGGCUCAAGCAACUGUUUAACAAAAACACAGGUCUAUGCUAAGCUGGAAGGCGAUGUAUAUGGGCUGACACCUGCCCAGUGCUGGAAGGUUAAGAGGAGGAGUGAGAGCUCCGAAUUGAAGCCCCAGUGAACGGCGGCCGUAACUAUAACGGUCCUAAGGUAGCGAAAUUCCUUGUCGGGUAAGUUCCGACCUGCACGAAUGGUG
rnacentral:rRNA from 1 species